rnacentral:rRNA from 1 species
GACGAACGCUGGCGGCGUGCUUAAUACAUGCAAGUCGAGCGAACAGAUGAGGAGCUUGCUCCUCUGACGUUAGCGGCGGACGGGUGAGUAACACGUGGAUAACCUACCUAUAAGACGGGGAUAAUUUCGGGAAACCGGAGCUAAUACCGGAUAAUAUAUUGAACCGCAUGGUGCAAUAGUGAAAGACGGCUUUGCUGUCACUUAUAGAUGGAUCCGCGCCUCAUUAGCUAGUUGGUAAGUUAACGGCUUACCAAGGCAACGAGGCGUAGCCGACCUGAGAGGGUGAUCGGCCACACUGGAACUGAGACACGGUCCAGACUCCUACGAGAGGCAGCAGUAGGGAAUCUUCCGCAAUGGGCGAAAGCCUGACGGAGCAACGCCGCGUGAGUGAUGAAGGUCUUCGGAUCGUAAAACUCUGUUAUUAGGGAAGAACAAAUGUGUAAGUAACUAUGCACGUCUUGACGGUACCUAAUCAGAAAGCCACGGCUAACUACGUG